rnacentral:rRNA from 1 species
AUUGAACGCUGGCGGCAUGCCUUACACAUGCAAGUCGAACGGUAACGGGUCCUUCGGGAUGCCGACGAGUGGCGAACGGGUGAGUAAUAUAUCGGAACGUGCCCAGUAGUGGGGGAUAACUGCUCGAAAGAGCAGCUAAUACCGCAUACGACCUGAGGGUGAAAGGGGGGGAUCGCAAGACCUCUCGCUAUUGGAGCGGCCGAUAUCAGAUUAGCUAGUUGGUGGGGUAAAGGCCUACCAAGGCAACGAUCUGUAGUUGGUCUGAGAGGACGACCAGCCAGACUGGGACUGAGACACGGCCCAGACUCCUACGGGAGGCAGCAGUGGGGAAUUUUGGACAAUGGGCGCAAGCCUGAUCCAGCAAUGCCGCGUGCAGGAAGAAGGCCUUCGGGUUGUAAACUGCUUUUGUCAGGGAAGAAAUCUUCUGGGCCAAUACCCCGGGAGGAUGACGGUACCUGAAGAAUAAGCACCGGCUAACUACGUGCCAGCCGCCGCGGUAA